UAGAUGCGAGAGUAGAGCAUAUCAAUAAGCGGAGGAAAAGAAACUAACAAGGAUUCCCUUAGUAACGGCGAGUGAAGCGGGAAGAGCUCAAAUUUGAAAUCUUCAAGGUUUUACCUUGACGAAUUGUAGUUUAAAGAAGUGUUUUCUGUUGGAGUUUUGGUAAAAGUUCUUUGGAAUAGGACAUCAUAGAGGGUGAGAAUCCCGUAUUUGACCAUUAUUUCCAGCUGUGUGAUACACUUUCAAAGAGUCGGAUUGCUUGGGAAUGCAGUCCAAAAUGGGUGGUAAAUUUCAUCUAAAGCUAAAUAUUGGCGAGAGACCGAUAGCGAACAAGUACCGUGAGGGAAAGAUGAAAAGAACUUUGAAAAGAGAGUUAAACAGUACGUGAAAUUGUCAAAAGGGAAGCGUUUGACACCAGUGUUGUUUUCUCGAAAAUCAAUUAAAAAUGAUGGGAUUUUGUGUUGUAUUGACUUUAUCAGCUUUCUGCACUUUUUUCUUAUCUUUUUUAAUGCACUUUUCGUUUAACAAGUCAACAUCAAUUUCUUUUGUUGUAAAAGAGUCAUUGGAAGGUGGCUUUUUCUUCGGAAAAAGUGUUUAUAGCCUUUGGCUUCUGCAAUCGGAGAGAUUGAGGUCUGCAGCGUAGAUCCUUCGGGGUUAGAUACAUUUGUGCUAAGUUAUAGUCCUUUCAUAGACAACUUGUUGACUAUAAUUAAUCCUUGUAACUUACUCGCUUAUGCUAUUUUACCUACGCUUAGGAUGUUGACACACGCGCGUGCUCG
rnacentral:rRNA from 1 species